GGGGAUGUAGCUCAGUUGGGAGAGCGCCGCCUUUGCACGGCGGAAGUCAGGAGUUCGAGUCUCCUCAUCUCCACCA
rnacentral:tRNA from 1 species